rnacentral:rRNA from 1 species
AUGAACGCUAGCGGCAGGCUUAACACAUGCAAGUCGAGGGGCAGCAUAAUGGUAGUAAUACUAUUGAUGGCGACCGGCGGACGGGUGCGUAACGCGUAUGCAACCUACCCUUUACAGGGGGAUAACACUGAGAAAUCGGUACUAAUACCCCAUAAUAUUCUGGGAGGCAUCUUUCGGAGUUGAAAGCUUUGGUGGUAAAGGAUGGGCAUGCGUUGUAUUAGCUAGUUGGUAAGGUAACGGCUUACCAAGGCGACGAUACAUAGGGGGACUGAGAGGUUAACCCCCCACAUUGGUACUGAGACACGGACCAAACUCCUACGGGAGGCAGCAGUGAGGAAUAUUGGUCAAUGGACGGAAGUCUGAACCAGCCAUGCCGCGUGCAGGAAGACGGCUCUAUGAGUUGUAAACUGCUUUUGUACGAGGGUAAACGCAGAUACGUGUAUCUGCCUGAAAGUAUCGUACGAAUAAGGAUCGGCUAACUCCGUGCCAGCAGCCGCGGUAAUACGGAGGAUCCAAGCGUUAUCCGGAUUUAUUGGGUUUAAAGGGUGCGUAGGCGGUUUAGUAAGUCAGCGGUGAAAUUUUGGUGCUUAACACCAAACGUGCCGUUGAUACUGCUGGGCUAGAGAGUAGUUGCGGUAGGCGGAAUGUAUGGUGUAGCGGUGAAAUGCUUAGAGAUCAUACAGAACACCGAUUGCGAAGGCAGCUUACCAAACUAUAUCUGACGUUGAGGCACGAAAGCGUGGGGAGCAAACAGGAUUAGAUACCCUGGUAGUCCACGCAGUAAACGAUGAUAGCUCGUUGUCGGCGAUACACAGUCGGUGACUAAGAGAAAUCGAUAAGCUAUCCACCUGGGGAGUACGUUCGCAAGAAUGAAACUCAAAGGAAUUGACGGGGGCCCGCACAAGCGGAGGAACAUGUGGUUUAAUUCGAUGAUACGCGAGGAACCUUACCCGGGCUUGAAAGUUACUGACGAUUCUGGAAACAGGAUUUCCCUUCGGGGCAGGAAACUAGGUGCUGCAUGGUUGUCGUCAGCUCGUGUCGUGAGAUGUUGGGUUAAGUCCCGCAACGAGCGCAACCCUUAUGGUCAGUUACUACGCAAGAGGACUCUGGCCAGACUGCCGUUGACAAAACGGAGGAAGGUGGGGAUGACGUCAAAUCAGCACGGCCCUUACGUCCGGGGCGACACACGUGUUACAAUGGUAGGUACAGAGGGCAGCCACCCAGUGAUGGGGAGCGAAUCUCGAAAGCCUAUCUCAGUUCGGAUUGGAGGCUGAAACUCGCCUCCAUGAAGUUGGAUUCGCUAGUAAUCGCGCAUCAGCCAUGGCGCGGUGAAUACGUUCCCGGGCCUUGUACACACCGCCCGUCAAGCCAUGGGAGUUGGGGGUGCCUGAAGUUCGUGACCGAAAGGAGCGACCUAGGGCAAAACCGAUGACUGGGGCU